AAGAUCAUACUUUCAGGGAUAAUUUCUUUAGUCUUUGACUUGAGAAAUAUCGUACGAACGUGAUCGGUUACUCUAACCACGAUGAAGAGAACUGAUGUUCCCUGCUGAGCGCGAAGCGGGGCAGUGAGUGAUGAUGCAUUUCAUUUGUCCUUGUCAUUGAUGACCGUUCCAUUCUCUCUAGUGGAGCCUGGAGGAAGGGAACAUGAUCAGAGUGGU
ensembl:snoRNA U3 Small nucleolar RNA U3